UACACCAUUGCGGCUGUACCGGUACAGCAAGCAGAAAAGGCUGAUUUUCGCCAGUUCAAUGCACUUUCUUAUUUUUAGCAUUCCAAUCAUCCUCUAACUUAUCCAAAAACUUGUUCUAACCUUUUAAAACAUGUAGGAGUGAUCCACACACCAUUCCACAUACUCGAACUCCGCAAAUUGCAAAAGUUCAGUGUAUUAC
rnacentral:lncRNA from 1 species